CCUACGGGAGGCAGCAGUGGGGAAUAUUGCACAAUGGGCGCAAGCCUGAUGCAGCCAUGCCGCGUGUGUGAAGAAGGCCUUCGGGUUGUAAAGCACUUUCAGCGGGGAGGAAGGCGGUGAGGUUAAUAACCUCAUCGAUUGACGUUACCCGCAGAAGAAGCACCGGCUAACUCCGUGCCAGCAGCCGCGGUAAUACGGAGGGUGCAAGCGUUAAUCGGAAUUACUGGGCGUAAAGCGCACGCAGGCGGUCUGUCAAGUCGGAUGUGAAAUCCCCGGGCUCAACCUGGGAACUGCAUUCGAAACUGGCAGGCUAGAGUCUUGUAGAGGGGAGUAGAAUUCCAGGUGUAGCGGUGAAAUGCGUAGAGAUCUGGAGGAGUACCGGUGGCGAAGGCGGCCCCCUGGACAAAGACUGACGCUCAGGUGCGAAAGCGUGGGGAGCAAACAGGAUUAGAUACCCCAGUAGUC
rnacentral:rRNA from 1 species